AUACACUCAUUUCAAUAUUUAAUUUAGUAAAUGCCUAAAUUUAUCCAUCAAACAAGCCAAUUAAUAUUCUCCCAUAUCACGUCCACAGUAAAUCCUUACACUUCACUUUUACAAUUGCACCACCGAAACCCAAUUUUUCUCAAAUCAAAACCAGAUAAUCUUUUCAAUAAUCUCCAUUGCAUCCUUAAAUCAUAUCUCAAUCUCUAAUUGAUCCUUAUUUUCAGUCCCAAAAAUCACCUCUUCGAACCACAAUAUUGUUAUUUUGAUCUCAAUACUUUGAUAUAUUAGCCCUAAUGGACAAAGUUAAAAUCACAAAACCAAGUUCGAAAUAAAGCUUUCAUGUAGCAUAGAAUGAAUCUCUUGAUAUUGUAAGCAGAAGAUGACAUCACUAGUUUCAAGUUUAGCCAAGUGGUCGUACAAGAAGAAGAAACUUGUCGAAGAAGCACCAUUCACUAGGAAUACAUCUCGCCAGUUGUCCAUGCGUUCGGGCAAGUGUCGGGCCGACGAGGCAGGUAAUACAAAUAACAGAACACCAACUCCUCCACCAUAUCUGGGUUCUGUCUGGAUUGAACAGACAAGCCUCCCAUAAAAACUAAGCAGGCUACUUCAACUAAAGGAGACAGUGUCCACACUCCAUCUAGAUUUGUGACUCCAAAAAGGAUGGCAACCGGGGAAACAAAAGUAGAUAUUGUAUAGACUCCAUUCAGGCACAUAACAAGUUUGAUAACUAUAUUGUCUAACUUAAAGGAAGGGCUCGACAGAAUUCUGAUAUUAG
rnacentral:lncRNA from 1 species